rfam:Firmicutes bacterium CAG:791 genomic scaffold, scf81
AAUGUUUUUCAGGGCAGGGUGCAAUUCCCUACUGGCGGUACAGUCCGCGACCCUGCGGCGUCAGAAGCUGACGGUGCAGGCUGAUUCGGUGCAAGUCCGAAACCAACAGUACAGUCUGGAUGGAAGAAGAAUGAA